rnacentral:ncRNA from 1 species
GAUUAAGCUAGAAAGAGCUUAUGGUGGAUGCCUUGGCAUUCAGAGUUGAAGAAGGACGCGACCGGCUGCGAAAAGCCGUGGGGAGCUGCUAAAUAAGCGUAGAUCCGCGGAUAUCCGAAUGGGGCAACCCACCAGUGUGGAGCACUGGUAUUAUGUGGUGAAAUAAGUAGCCAUGUAAGAACAAGCAGGAGAACUGAAACAUCUUAGUACCCUGAGGAAAAGAAAUCAAAAUGAGAUUCCCUUAGUAGCGGCGAGCGAAAGGGGAAGAGUCCAAACACUUAAAGUGUAAGUCUGUAGACGUUGCUUUAAGUGGGUGUAGGAUAGACUGUACUAAAAGCUACAGUCUUUUGGCUGACUUAAAUUUUUUACCGAGUCGAAUGAACUGGGAAGUUCAACCGUAGGAGGUAAUAGUCCUGUAGACGUAAGGUAAAAG